rnacentral:rRNA from 1 species
GGGCCCGCACAAGCGGUGGAGCAUGUUGUUUAAUUCGAUGCAACGCGAAGAACCUUACCACCCCUUGACAUACUCGGAACUUUCUAGAGAUAGAUUGGUGCCUUCGGGAACGCAGUGACAGGUGCUGCACGGCUGUCGUCAGCUCGUGUUGUGAAAUGUUGGGGUUAAGUCCCGCAACGAGCGCAACCCCUAUUGAUAGUUACCAUCAUUAAGUUGGGUACUCUAUUGAGACUGCCGCUGACAAGGCGGAGGAAGGUGGGGACGACGUCAAGUCAUCAUGGCCCUUACGACCAGGGCUACACACGUGCUACAAUGGCUAGGACAGACGGCCGCAAACCCGCGAGGGGAG